GAUGAACGCUGGCGGCGUGCCUAAUACAUGCAAGUCGAGCGAACUGAUUAGAAGCUUGCUUCUAUGACGUUAGCGGCGGACGGGUGAGUAACACGUGGGCAACCUGCCUGUAAGACUGGGAUAACUUCGGGAAACCGAAGCUAAUACCGGAUAGGAUCUUCUCCUUCAUGGGAGAUGAUUGAAAGAGGGUUUCGGCUAUCACUUACAGAUGGGCCCGCGGUGCAUUAGCUAGUUGGUGAGGUAACGGCUCACCAAGGCAACGAUGCAUAGCCGACCUGAGAGGGUGAUCGGCCACACUGGGACUGAGACGCGGCCCAGACUCCUACGGGAGGCAGCAGUAGGGAAUCUUCCGCAAUGGACGAAAGUCUGACGGAGCAACGCCGCGUGAGUGAUGAAGGCUUUCGGGUCGUAAAACUCUGUUGUUAGGGAAGAACAAGUACAAGAGUAACUGCUUGUACCUUGACGGUACCUAACCAGAAAGCCACGGCUAACUACGUGCCAGCCGCCGCGGUAA
rnacentral:rRNA from 1 species